rnacentral:rRNA from 1 species
AGGUUGACCUCGGAUCAGGUAGGGAUACCCGCUGAACUUAAGCAUACAAAAGGGGGGGGAAAAAAAAAAUAAAAACGAAGUUGAA